AUUCAGCUGACGACUCCCAAAUAGGACGAAAUGCGAAUCCUGGAU
rnacentral:hammerhead_ribozyme from 1 species